GGUACCUUUAAUUCAGUCCCGUGAGGCUGACAAGGACAGCGGAUGUAAUGAUGGCCAUUGGGUGAGGUAUACCCAUGCUCUUUGGUUUAUCAUGGCGGAAAGGCUACUUGUCGGAAAACGGCAAGUAGCCUUUUUUC
rfam:Bacillus subterraneus strain MITOT1 contig_125, whole genome shotgun sequence.